rnacentral:rRNA from 1 species
AUGGCGCCGCCGCCCGUCGUGGGCUUCUCAGACCUGCCGACGGAGGCGCUGGACGAGAUCGCCCGGCGCGCCGGGCCCCUCGACAACGUCCUCUGCUCCGCCGUCUGCCGGUCAUGGCGCCGCGCGCUCAGGACCACGCGCCUCCACCGGCUGGGACGGCAACCGAGCCUCCCGCACCGCAUGUACAUGUACCAACGCAGUUUCUGGGAGGAGGGGCAGCCCCCGGUCGUCGAGGUCAGCCGGCCGUACUGCAGAGACACCGGCCAGUGGGCCGUCAAGACCGUCAUGGACGACGGCAAGGUUGCUAGCGCGCGCAUCAUCGGAAGCUCUUACGGCUGGGUCAUCACCGUCGACAAUGACACGUGGGCCAUGUCCCUGCUCGACCCCUUCACCGGCCGGAGCUUCCCGCUGCCUCCCUUCACGGACUCCUCCCGCGCCGGCAAGCAGCUCCGGACGGAGUUCCGAUGGGGGCGAGAGAUGUUCCGCAAGGCGGCGCUGGCUCCUGGGCGCCGGCUGGGCACCUACGCCGUGAUGCUACUCCACGGCGGCGGGCGCGGCCUGUCCUACCUCGCUCCCGGCGCCACGUCGUGGGCGACGCUGCGCCCUCCGAGGGGCAUGCCGCACAAGUACCUGGACGUCAUCUUCCACAAGGGCGCCUUCUACACGGUCAGCUCCUACGCCGAGGCGAACGCGUGGGUGCCGGACGGCAGCGGCGGCCUGCGGACGAGGCGGCUCACGAGCCCGCGGCUCCGCGUCCGGCGACGGCGUUCUCAUGGUGAGCAGCACGGACACGCGCGACCACGAUAA